rnacentral:rRNA from 1 species
UACGAAAGGGGCUAGCGGUGUUCGGGUUUACUGGGCGUAAAGCGCGCGUAGGCGGGCUAGCAAGUUGGGGGUGAAAUCCCGGGGCUCAACCUCGGAACUGCCUCCAAAACUGCUAGCCUAGAGGAUGGGAGAGGAUAGUGGAAUUCCGAGUGUAGAGGUGAAAUUCGUAGAUAUUCGGAAGAACUCCAGUGGCGAAGGCGCCUGUCUGGCGCAUUUCUGACGCUGAGGUGCGAACGCGUGGGGAGGAAACAGG